UAGCCACGUCGAUGGAUAGGUGAGUAGAUAGUGUUUAUUGAUCGUUAAAAUUGUACAAAUUGUAAAAUAGUGGAUAUAUGUUAAACCCCAAAGAGCUUAUAUAGUACUCCCAAAACUAGUAACAGAAUAGGACGAAGAUAGGUCCAUGAAAACAAAACCAAAAAGCCCACAUAACAAAUACUAUCCCGUGAUGGUUGUUCAAAGGGGAAAAUUGAUUCAAUGUGUAUACAGCCCCAUCGCUGGCCCAGGGCAACUGGGGCGACCGCCCUGGGCCCCCCAAAAAAAAAGCCCACGUUGCUGAAAUGAAGGACUGAAGUUUGAAGGCCCUAAAUAAAUAAAAAAAAAUUAAAAAAAAAAAAAACUUUAAAGAAGCGUAUUUUUCUUUCCCCUGACUUUCAAAUGCAAAUCCCUAAAAUCAUAAAUUAAGAUAUUCAAAGAAACGAUUUCUUUCCUAAUAUUCAGACAAUCUCCUCAACUUCUUUCCCCUAAUUUUCGGCCAUAAUAUUCUCUUUCCAAAGUAAUUUGAUUUCUCCAAAAAAAAACGUUCAAUCUUCAAUCUAAUCCCCAAGAUGUAUUUGUAUACAAUUUUCAAUUUCAGUCAGAUGAAUUGGGGUUGUUUCGAGAAUCGAGAUUCAAUUGAAGAGGAAAACGAUCAAAAACGCUGUUUCCGAGUUGAAGAACAAUCAGAAGUUGGGGAAAAAAAUUGGGAAAAAAAAUUCAAUUAAUUGGUUGAGUUUGGUUCCUUGGUGAAACAAUGGCUUCCGACUUCCGAGUUUCAGAUUAAUUGGUUGAUUUUCAACGAAUUUCAGAUUUGAGAUAUUAUUUGGAAUGCAAUUGUUCAAAUUGAGGCAUUGAGCAGAAUUUGGUGUUAAAUCUUCAAUUAUAAGGUGUUUUUGCUCUUUUUUAUACUUUUAUUAAUUUUCAUUAUUUCAUAUAAUGUUGCCUAGAAGAUAUUUAUCUGGUAAUGAUAAGAGGAAAAAAACAAAAAGAGCUGAAGAGUUAAUAGAAUCUCAAAAGGGUUCCAUUGACAAAAUUUUUACUAAAAUAGUACAAGUAGACAAGUCAUCUCAUGAAUUGGGGGAAAAUGAAAAUCAUGAAUAAGCUAAUGAGGACUUAAACAAUGUUAAUAAUGCCAAUGACCCGAAUGAGAAUGCGACUCAUAUGAAAGAACCAAUGGAUGCACCAAAUGCAUCCAAUGUUAAUAAUAUAGGCAUUGAUGAACAAAUAGUCCCUCCUUUCGAUUUUUAUGAUCCUAAUAAUUGGGGUAAUCUUGACAAUAAAGGGAGGGAUAUUUUAAUUGAAAAAGGACCCAUAAGAGACUUGAACCUUGUGUUUCCAAUUGAUGACAAAUUAAUUGAAAAAGGACCCAUAAGAGACUUGAACCUUGUGUUUCCAAUUGAUGACAAAUUAAUUGAAAAAGGACCCAUAAGAGACUUGAACCUUGUGUUUCCAAUAGGGCCCCAAUUUAUAUCUUUGCCUCGGGCCACUAAAAUCUCAGAAACGGGGCUGUGUGUAUAUAUUCUAACAUUUCCAUUUAAUUUUCCAUUGUUGAGCGAGAAUUGGUGAGUUUACAGUUGUAAAACAUACUAUCUUCGUGAUUGGAGUUUGGGGAGUUAUUGAAAGCUCGGUAAGAAACCAAUUCAAGGGGGAAUUGAGGUGCUCUAGCUAAUCAUUUAUUGUUAGAGAUCAAAUUGGAAACAAGUUAAAUUCAUAAUUGCUAUAAAUUUGAUAUAAUUUCUCCUCCAUAGUUGUAAGAGAUCAAAUCAAAUUGAUCGAUGUGACAUAAUAUAAGUAUUUAGUUGAGAAUUGUCACGUAAUGUUCAGGAUGGAUGAGGACCAUGCCAAAUCCGAUUGAGAUCUCACUAAAUCGGACUCUAUCCUAUCUUAAACCUAAUUGAGUUAGUCUAAUUAUUCAUAUAUUUGGACAAUUUAUACCUAAAUUCCUACUCGUCAGCAUAAGUAUUUUUCAGGGCAAGUGGCACAUUUGUUAGUCAGUUUAAUUACAGGUGCUUUUAAUUUGCCUUUUUAUUAACGUAAAUUCAAUUGAGGUGACAAUUAUUUGAGCUCUUUUAGCAAAAUGUAUUAACAAGUCAACCUAAUUCAACGACUUAACAUUCCAAUCCUUUGAAAGUCCUCAAAGGUACCAUAGCUAACAGAUAUCGAAUUUGCAAAAACUACUAUUUGAAAAUUGCUAUUCAUACAAGGUAUGUUUACCCUAAUCGAAUAUGUAAGCAAAACUAGCCGAAACUAAUAAUACGUUGGUCAACAUUCGAAAGAGCAAAACAAAAUUUUGUCAAAAUAAGUAGUUUUCAAUUGAAGCGCCCACUAGUACGGAAAAUCAACAUUCAACCUUUGAACACACACUUGUAAGUAAUAAAGACUACAACUUGAGAUCUCAUACUAAAAAGAAACCAAAAAAGGGUAAAAAAAAAUACUUCAUAAAUAAAUAAUUGUGGAUAUAAAUAAAUUAAUUAAUAUCCCAUAAAUAAAAAAGCAAUAAGAAUAAUAUCCAAAAAUCCUAGAUUCUCGAAAAGGCAAGUAGUAGCAUUCCAUGAGUAACACAUCAAACUCUCUUCAUUUAUCCAAUCAUCAUUUGUGGGGGUUUAGAGAUUAUUCAAUUUUACAAACGUUACUAUCAAAAAUCUAUUGAUAUUUUGAGGUCUUACUUUGUCCUUUCCAAGUAAAAAGCCUCUCAUUCUAUGUCUCUAAUUUUGUUAUAUCAUAAAAUUCCAUUCAUAUGAUCUUUUUUAUAGGGAGUACAUACGUGUUCGGGUGUUUUUUUAUAUUCUUAUUUUGUCGCUCUUUUUAAAUAUUCUGUUAUAUACUCUCUUAUAUCUUUGAUACGAAGCAUAAGAGUAGUUAUGUAUGAUGCUCUUCAAGCUUGUUGCCUGAACGUUAUCACGUGUUUCUCGAAAUGAGAAUUCCAAAUUUGAGUUUUUAAGAUAUAUAAUAUUAUUAGUGACUUUGGACUUUUAUUAAGGACUUAAAAUUGUUGAAAAUUAUUUUUGAGUUUAAUAAUAGUCCAAAUUUAUAACAUUAUUUUUACAGUAUUUAUUGAAAUUAUGAAAUUUCAACACUAGUUGACAUCCCGCCAAAAAAAAAAAAAAAAA